UCUAGAGAGUUCUCUCAACUGCUCCUCCUUCUCUCUAAAUUCUCUCACUAUAUUCUCCAUGAAUCUUCAGUUUAAAUCUCAAAGUUUUCAUGGUAUCAAAGCCUAGACGAUGAUCCGACUAUGUUUUUCUGCAUCUUGUUAUCUUAGUUGACGUAUCCUUUGAGAUUUUUGCGGGUGUUUCUGACGUAUGUGGUAGAUGACGAUUCCGAUCUAAAUCGGAUGCUUUUCUGAGACUUUCAUCGUAAUAUCUGAGUAUAUCUUCUUCACUCGAACGUUCUGGGAGAUUUUUCGAUGAUUUUUGGGUGAU
rnacentral:lncRNA from 1 species